rnacentral:rRNA from 1 species
UGGCGGACGGGUGAGUAACGCGUGGGCAACCUGCCCUGUACUGGGGGAUAACACCUGGAAACAGGUGCUAAUACCGCAUAAGCGCGCUGUGCCGCAUGGCGCGGCGCGGAAAACCCCGGUGGUACAGGAUGGGCCCGCGUCUGAUUAGCUGGUUGGCAGGGUAACGGCCUACCAAGGCGACGAUCAGUAGCCGGCCUGAGAGGGUGGACGGCCACACUGGGACUGAGACACGGCCCAGACUCCUACGGAAGGCAGCAG